GGAAAGUAGAGAAAGAAGAAUAAUAUUUGAAAUCCAUUUGAAGGAAGCAAAAAAUCUCUUAAGCUUCAAUGACGGCGGUAGAUGCAGAAAAGAUGCAGGUAGAAAUAAGUGAUAUGUCAUGACUGCUAAGCAUUAGUCGGGUGAAGAUCUUAGACAUAUUAACGAUUUCAACUUCAAGUUUGACAAAAAUCUCAAUUGAAUCGUCUUGAAGCUCACAGCAAUGAUCUUAAUUCUAGAGAUUUAGGUAAUUGAAAUGAGUAUUCUCGAAUCGAAUCAUUGGAAGGAUUUGAUGUCUCAAAUGGAAUAAACUGAGAACGACGUCUUCUCAAAUCAAAUAAUUGAAAGGAUUUGAGGUAAUUAAGCAGAUUAAAACCACAAUUUAGGUAAAUGAAAUUUUAAUCAGAUGUUGUUUUUUUAGAAAUUAAUUUUAUGGUAUGUUUCUUAAAUUAUGUAUUUAUUGUUCAAGUUUCAUGGAUCUGUAUUCUUUUCACUGAGAUAAUUUGUUAGAUUUACUAAAAAGAAAGAUUUUGUUACAUGAGAUAUAGUUGGGGUAAAAUCAUGGAAAUAUCCUGGUUGGAUUAUUAUUAUGCUUAAUCCAGCAUUGAAAGCACCUAACAAGGUUCUGAUACUAAACUUGUCAUUGAUUUAUGAUUUUUAUUUUUGGAAAUAGAAAGGGAUUGGAUUACAAAAUUUAGUUUGAUUUGUUUCUCAUUCGUCUUAUGGUAAUAUAAUGAAAUUGAUUUAGUUUGAUUUUUUUCUCAUUUGUCUUACGGUUAUAAAUGAAAUUUAAGUAGUUUUAGCUUUUCCCCCAAAUUAAUUUGGUUUAGGAUUAGUGAGGUUCUCACAAUCUGCAACUGUUUGAUUGCAUAAAUAUCAUUCGUACAAUAUCGCGCAUGAUUUACGCCUAGUUCGUUGAUUUUAUGUCUUUUGACAUAUAAAAUUUAUGAGGUGUUGGCUAGACAUAAUUCUAGUAGUGGUUAUGGAUCUGUAUAUCCUACUUCUCUGCCUUGACAUUUUUUCUCUAAGUUUAAUGUCCUUGGUUCUUUUUACUCUCUCUUAUUAACCAUUUUGUUCCCCUGGUUGUAGUCAAGGUUGAUCUUCUUUAAUUUUUAAUUUUCAAAAGAGUUGUACUUGUUCCUUAAUUUUCAAAUACAGAUGUGGUUGCAAAAUUGGAGAAAGAUGAUGAUAUUCCUUUCCGUCGCAAUGAUCAAUCAAGUAUUUUUGGAGAAAUAAGCUUUUGCGGCGAAAUUGGCUAAAAAAGUGGUUUUUGCGCCCG